rnacentral:ncRNA from 2 species
UCCGCGCAAACGAUUACGUGCUGUAUAUGUCUAGUGAAUUGGACUGGACGUCUCUACCAUCGAGCCUAUCUCGAUGACUACAGUAAGUUGGCUUAUUUUA